CUGCCUUCCAUCAGCCCAUAUGUGCAGCUGUGGGGAAGGAAACUGCAGCUCUUUGCCCUUGCUCAUUAGCCCAAUCUGUUCACCUCCUAUCCUCUGUGGACCGGUGGCAUUGGUGGCUCAGGCUGUCAAUGGGAGAGAGGUGCUGGUGGCUCAGGAGGGGCUCACCUGCUUUUUACAGCCUCGGUGCAGGUGUUUAUUUACUUCAGGUAUAGCUUAAUGUUCAAACCCUGCAAUAAUCAGGGAGCAUGGAGAUAUGUGUCAACAAGCAAAAAGGCUGCAAACACCUCUCUUGUAUUCAAACAAACAUUUGUACAUCUCUCUGUCCCCUUUACCCCUCCUUAGCUGUGUGUAUCUUAGCAGUGACAACUAGAUGCGACUUGCUUGCUUGUUUAUUAACAUGCUUAGAUUUAUAUCUCGCAGGGGUCCAUAUUGCCCCACUCAAGGCAAAAGCUAGGGAAUCAUGAGGUUGUGCUUAAAAUAUAACUUGUAAGUCACCCACAGAGAGGGAAAGAGUCCAACAUGUAGUUAUUCUGUUCUCUCCUUCACUCCCAAAUGGAGAACUGGUUUUAAAUCAAGUAAACCCAUUACACAUCCACGGUAACUGGAGGCAAAUUAUAUGAUCAGCUUCCCAAAUGAGAAAGCCUGUUUUAAGAGGACUGUUCCUUUGCACAAGCCCGUGUGUUUGGCUAGGUCCCAGAUGAGUUUGAUACCAGGGGCUUUGGUACCAUGAGUGGCUGCUGGCACCAACGUGGCCGGACAGGAGAGACAUCCCUCUGUUUCAGCCCAGCACCCCAAAAAGGCGGUGUUUGGUCAGCCCCUGCCUCUGAGCAGUUGGGCCCAGGGACACGGCUCGAGGGCGGAAUAUGAUGUGUUGUAUCUUGGCCUCAGUCUGUGAGUGACUUCCAAAUUGCUGGUCCCUUCUGCCAUUUGUCUUUGCAGUGAAAUGAAACACAUUUUCCAGUAAUUAAAAAAAUACUUUCUUAGAGCAUUCCUAUCUGCAUUUUUCAUUGCACAUAGUGCUGCCAAAAUGUGCACAGCCAACCCUAUCUGUUAAAAAGGGGUGUUAAAGACUUAGAAACAGUAUAUAAUUUUCAGAAGCUGUAGACCAAAGGGCCAGCAGACAAAAGCCUACACGAUCAGAACUUCUUCAGGGCACAUGUGCUAACUUAUUCAGGAAUGAACAAACUCCGCUUUAUCCUGUUGUUCCUCAGUUUGCACAGAAUAAACAUUCCAGACUGAUGCACAUCAUCCACAAAAGCCCAUUUCUGGCUCAGGGGACCUGGGGCUGUAUUGUGUUUUGUUUGGUCUUAGACCUGAAUGCAAGAGGCUUCAAUAAUCACUAAUUUUCUGAGCAGUAGCAAAAAUGUAACCUGCACGCUAAGAAUGGCACCCGGGUGUGUCCCACCUCAUCGGGAGUGGUGCAGCUACACUGUGCUGCAACACACUCCCUCCUCCCUGCUGGCACCCACGGGGCUGCCCUGCCAGCCAGGCUGGGGGACUGACAUCUUAAAUCCCUCUCCCUCCCUGUUCUGCCACGGCACUGGACUUAGUGAUGAGCCCCUUCGUUUUCUGAAAGGCUUCAGUGAAAGGACAAUUCAUUCACCGGCUGCUGGCCCUCGGCCCUGGAUCUGGUCAUUCACUGGAGCCAAACUUGCCCCUUGGGCAUGGGCUAGCGUGGUCACACAAUGACUUCAUGGCAACCCUGCCCACCGAACUGAGAGCACAAUUUAGCUGUUAGAGCUGACACAAAUCCCGAUGCAAAGUCUCUCCUUUGUUCUUUGUUAUCUCAGAAAGAAUUUCAGCCUCCCUUGCAGCUGUUAUUUUUAUCCAACAAUAACAACACUUUUGUGGUCUUUACAAAAAACUAAAAUCUGCCAGAAAACUCUGCUUGAAAUAGCACUGUACAGGGUUUAAAGUAUCAUUUCUCUUGCAUUACAGCUUUUGUGCAUCAUGCUUAACUCCAUGGGAUGCCUUUUUAUAUGCUGAUCUAGGUAGUUGCAUUUCCUGUUGCAGCACUCAAAAUAACACAUAUAUUUUUUUAAAAUCUUCUCUCUAAGUUACAGUCGAUGGACAAAAACAUAACACGAAGGGCACAAAUCAUGCUCUGAUUCCUUUUCCAGUAUUGGAGAAUAUUUUACUGUGCAAGUUUUCCUAUUAAAAUAGAUGAAACUAUCUGCGGAAUAAUGUACCAUUCAGGAAUAGCGAGGCCAAUGACUUCUAACCCUUCAUAACUGCAGUGCCUGUGUAAACAUAGCCGUGCAGCAAGUCCAGCACAUUGCCUGGGAUAAUGCCAAAGAAAAUAAUAAAUCAAUAAAUGAACAAACAAACAAACAAGUAAAUCCUCCCUCAUGAUUAACUGAAUGCUCCCACAUUUAAAUGAGCAACAAAGUAAAUACGAAUUGUUGGAUUAAUAUUUUCCAGUCAUAACAUAUUUUAUGCCCCUACUCCAUGCCCACAAAGAUUUAAUGAAGUACUUAAUUUUUAAAAAAAUAUUAUGCACCAAGUUAAAGUCUGUUUAUAUGCUUUGCUGUUCAAAGAUCCUUAAAAUACUGUUAAGAUUUCAGGAAAAUGGGUCCAUCUGAAGAUUGUACUCAUAUAUGUGUAUGCACACAAAAGCUUAGACCCGUGAUAUUGUAGAAUGGGUUGGUUUAGGGCACUGCCAUGAUUUGGAUGCAUUAUUCCUGGCUCACUGAAAUAACAUAGUUGGUUGCUUAUGAUCUGUGCUGGCAACAAAGGGGCCAGGAAGAUUAGCAGUUUUAUGUAAUCACUAGGGAUGCUCCACAGGCUGCACCAGGUCCCCGACCCCUUGCUGCUCACAGCCUCUCUGCAGCAGAGCCCAGAUGGGGAACACAGAGAGGGACACAGCAACCAAGCAACAGGAGCAGGAAGAGGGAAGUCAUAUGCAGCAGAGGGAAGGCAAAUGGGCAUUCUUACGGCAACUGCUGUUGGUUGCAUAUCUGUGAUGAGCUUUGGAAAAAUAAAAAUAAUUAAAUAAAUUAAAAAACAAACGAACAAAAAAAAAAAAAAAAACAAAAAACAGAACAGACCAUCCAUUGAGCAUAGGCCUAAAUUCAAAAAGGAGUGCCCCAAAGCUUUCUUUUAUUCAUCAUGACAUCAUGAUAUGACCCCAUGACACAACUUUAGAGGAUCAGAGAUUUUGGACUAGAAGGAGUGGAGAUUGGACUAAAGAUUGGCGUUUCCGCAUCUAAAGUAAUUCUCAUGGAAACAGAUAAUCACUUCUUAAGUUUCAAAAGGGUUCUGGGGCUACUGCAGUGCUCUUCCUCAAGUGUAACUCAGAUUCCUUGCCCACCUCAUUGUGGGAGCAGAACUGCUUGUUCCAUGUACUUCAGACAGAGGGAUAUUGCUUAGGAUAAGCAGAAAGUGUGAUAUAACGUGGAGUCUGACUCCUUCCCUUGGUAACCACCUGUUUGCCCUGUCCUGAAAGUGUGCUUUUCAAUCUAGGAUGUUUCAGAGAAUGGAAAGACACUGACUUUGGUUUUGAUAAUCAGGAUGACCAUUUGUUUUUACUCUUUCUAUAAAAAGAAAAGAGAAUUCUUGGAAUAAGAUUAGGUCUGUGGUAAGCAGGCUUAUAUAUGGAGAACAUGACAUUUUCCACUAAAAAACAUAUGGACAAAAUCAGAAACACUUUUGCAAAAAUUCUUUCUGGACAUCACAGAAAAACAAAGUUAUAAUUAUCAUAGCAAGUUGCAAGAGAGCAAUAAAAUGUCCUGACAUUUAAAAUAAGAUCACUUCGUGAAUGUAUUUUACUUUCUGGUCUUCUAAAUCCGCUCUGCCUCCUCCCUUUCUGUCACCUGGACUGUAACCUAUUCAAGACAAGAAGAAUAUGCAUUAUGAUUCAGGAUGAACUCUAUUCAUAUUAAUUAACAAUGGAACAGAAAGGUGCUGUUGAAGGGGGAAAUGUCCUCAUUAGGAUGUGUCCUUGGCAGGAAUUGUAUGUUUCUUUGCAGCAGAACCAUUGUACAGGGAAAGACAAGACUUAAGAGGGAGCCUGGCAUCCGGCACUAAAUCUUGGAUGCCGGAGACGGGCAGCUCUGCUGCCCACAGCCUGCAGUCUGCAAAGCAGCACCAGCCACAUGGAUCAGGAGCAGAAGGGCAGCAGUGAAGACAGCGUAUUGUUAACACAAGUUCCAGUGAAGACUUGGUUGUAGUAAAGGCGGGACUCCUCUCACCUCACCUGGCUGUGUACGAGCACCCCACCCAAACUUGCCAUCUGGGCUCCCUCCCUGAUGUCCAGGGUGAGGGACAGGCACCCCGCUGGGUGGUUUACCACCUCGGCUAUGGGUACCUGCCCUAGGAUAACAUCACCCACCUCCUGAAGCUGCUGAUCUCUUUCCACUGACUGCAGAUGGAAGCUGGAUGGUAAAACCCCUGAGUCUGGUUUAUAACUUUAUAUGGCUCAAGCAGAACGAAACCCACACAAGAAAUGUUGAAUAGAGACAGGUUACAGCUUAAAUAGCUCAUCUCUUCCAGAGAUGUUAGCAAUUCCCAGUGAAAAAUGGCGACAGAGCCACAGUGGUGGAAACAUCUGUGAGAAUGCUGAAGGAAGACGGUUUUUUUUGGCUACUUGUCACGUGAACCUGCUCCGGGAAGCUGUAGGUAACAGGAUCCUGGAAAUGCCAGUGGUCUUCAGAGCCUGAUCUAUACCCGCAUUACCUCUGUGACUAUCCAAAAGGGAGCUGUGCUGGCAAUAGGAACAAGAAGCUAUUUUUGCCACACAGCAUGAAAGGGCAGGAUGACAGCUCUCCAGCAAGCUCCAGCUAGCUCCAGAAAUUAACAUUCUCCAUUAGCAGAGCGUAUGGCAACACAACAGACACAGCAAAUUUGCCAAAGAAUUCAUUACAGUGGAUUACUGUGGUGUGGAUUGCAUUGCUGUAUAAUGAGCCCUUUGUUAGGUGCGAGCUGCACAUCCCUACAUGAGAAGUUUGAUCAAACAUUUUAUCGUUUUACAUUUUCAUCUCACUUUUUAUUGAGAAGACUGCAAUACAGAUGUAAAUAUUGCCUUUGUUUCCAAGAAAAAAAAAAACUCCCAUCUAACUCUAACAGAGAGGGACAUAUUGCCUCCUUUGCCAUCCAUAUGUAGAAGUUGCACUGCAAGGGAAUUCCUAGUGAGGCUCUUUUUGCAUACACCAGCCAUAUUUUCUUCCUAGAUGUAUCUAUUAACCUGGUUUUGCUCCACCAGAGUCAGUGAAAUAAUUCCAGUGCUUCACUGAUGCAGAGGAGAUCAGAAUCUGCUGGCUGUGACAUUAGCCUUCAGAUUGCCUGUUCAAGCAAGUCCCACAUCAUUAAGUAGGUUUUUUUUUUAUACAGAACAAACUACACUGCGGAGAGGGGGAGGUGGCUUUCUAGUUAAAGCUCCAGCACUUGUUUAAGGCCUCUGUGCUAUUGUUCAGCAGGUUUAAUGGCUAAACAGCUGUAUUCAGCCUGUAGCAGUGGAUGACUGGGACUGGAGGUCUCAGGAGACCCAGGGCUGGUGGGGCUGGCUUUAUUGCACCUCUUAAAGGGCGUGUGGGCAUGGAAGGAGUGAUCCACUGGUGGGACAGAGAUGUGUCCACCUCCCCAUGCCAUAACCACACAGACAAUGUGGAGCUGCCCUGCAAGAGGUGCUCAGCUAAUGUCUAGACUACAAAAUCCUCUCCAGAGAACAUAAUUGUAUUCUGCAGUGUAACCUAAAUCUGUAAUAUAAAUGCAAAGGGAACAGUUUAAUGAAAAUGGGUCUUUACGUAUUUGUGGGUAUGGCUCAGUUUUAAUAAACCAUUGAUAUAAUCACCAAUAAGAAACAAAAACUGGCAUCUGGUGACCCCAUAAUUUCAGAGAUGUUAUAAUAGAACAAGAGAGGCUAUUUGGAGAGCUCCAAAGAAUCUUCCUCCUUCCAGAACCAGAUCUCUUGCUGAUAUCUUAGUUCCUCCUCUGAAUAAUAAUGCUGAAGCUUUAUUAGUUAAUCAAUAAGACAUGAUACCGGGUAUGGUUAUCAUAAGAUAAUCACACCCUGGAGCAUUUUGAGGCACAAGCCUUAUGCCUCUAAUCAGAUUGGGGUGAGAUUAUCUCUUGAUAACCACACCCGUGGGGACCGGCUCAUUUCUAUUAUGAGAAAAUUUUAUCAUUGGGGAAAAUAUGCAUUUCUGCUGUAGAAAAAUGAAAAUGGUAGCUUAGAAUUAGCAGCCAUUUCUCUCAAGCUGAAAAAUUAGAUUUCCUUUUAGAAUGCUCUAGUGGAGCUCCUCACCAUCUAUGCUAUUAUAAGGCAAAAAUAAUUUCUAAUCAGGUGACAUGCUUGGGAAUCAGUUUGAACCUUACAUAUAUAUCUGUAUCUGUCUAUAAGUAUGUACAAGAGAAUCACUGGAAAAAAAAAAUCCAUUGACAAGUUUGCUAUAGACAUGAAGAAAAAAAAUAAGGAAAAAGAAAGUAAAACAACAAAGAAAGGCAUUACCUUUUCCUUCUAUAACAACAACAAAAAAACAAACAAACAAACAAAAAAAGCAAAAAGCUGUCACAUUAGGUAUUAUUUCUUGUGCUAUAUAUGCUACGCAUCAUCUUUCUGAUUAUAUACAUCAGAAUCCUAUCUGCAAUUAGUUUUGGUCUGCUAUUUACUAACAAGAAAUCACAAAAUUGAUAAAACUUAAUUUUUUUCUGGGAAAAAAAAAUAAGAAAAGAAAAAAAGAAAACAGAACAUUGCACUGAACCAGGAAAUAACCUCUUUAAAUUAUAGUGAUUAUGUGCAAGAAUCACAUCUGGGUGUGUACGUUGAUAAUGUACACACAGCCUCUGUUUAUAUAAACAAACACACUGUAGACACUCAGAUAUUUUGCUUUAUAUUACUGUUUAUAAGAAGCAUUAAUAAAAGAAGUCUCAGGCUUGCAAACACAGGUGACUGCAAAAAGCAGGUUUUAGAUGUUUAUGAACAAAUGUCUGUAUAAAAUGUUUGUGCACACUAUCAAUCCAUGAUCAAAAGUGACAAAAUCUGGUGAUUUUGCUGAGCAACUUUGUGAACAUUAACAUUACUAAUAAAACCUCGUAUAAUAAUUUCAGAGCUUCACCCAUAACCUAGCACUACCUUGGAGAGGUGAGCACCUCUUUAUCCCCUCACCUCCUCUUGACAGACUGGGAGAGGAAGGCAUGAAGAGAGGAACCAGGAGACCCAACUUACCCAAGGCCUCAGCAACAAAACCAGAAGCAAAAUUGUGGCCUCAGCUCGUAGUACACUGCCAUGCUGGGGUUUACUACACGUCUGAGAGGGCCAAGUCACUUGGCUGAACUUAUGGCAGGGCUCCUGCCUACACCUACGCAGCUGAAAAAGUUCCACUGCCUCCAUGGGCUCCUCUGAAUCGGAGUCAUAUUAUGGAAAGCAGGGAGGACAGGAGGUUAACUGUGCCUUUUGAAGAUGGUCCAGCUGGUAAGGACACAUAUUAAAGAGAAGGUGCAGCAAAGCUACAGCCACUUCUCACCACGGGUUCCUACUUCCACCACAUUCAGUACUCACCUCCAUCCUCUGUGCUGCUUAACAAUUUUUCUAAUUUUUGUCUGAAACCUGUGGGUACAUGACAUUCUUCUUCCUUAAAAUAAAGGAAAAUAUUUUAAAGGGAUUUUUCUUGCUGUUCCUUUCAGUACAAACACCUUUCCUACUUGGCUGCCAUCAUUCUUGGCCACAGCUCCUGCACAGUUUGUCCCAUAGCAUGACAUUUUGUGACUACGUAAGGUUCUGAAUGACUUCUAAACUAAUGCAAUUAACUUAGGACAUUUUGUUAAUCUACCAGGACAAGCCUUUGCUACAGAUUUUGACAUGGAGUUAUUGUAAUUAUUCUGAUAUUAUAUGUUUUGAUUGAUCUGCCACGCUGCAGGUUUAUGAAAAUGAAAUGUUACUGAAAUUGAUGGAAUGUGUGGAAACCUCAAACACAGGAUGAACAGGAUUUAACACCAAGCAGGUGUGAGAAGUAGGAUCAGGCCUAAAACUUUGAAGUUAGUAAUAAUAAUAAUAUUAGUAUUAAUAAUAAUAGUAAUAACAACAGUAAUAAUAAUAAUCCCUCACGAAAAACAAGCUGUUAGGAUUUAAGUAGUCAAAAGAUUUUUCUUCUCUGUCUUCCAGUACUGAGCUGUGAGCCUGGGUGUGAUUUCCGACCCAUUUUAAGGUCUUUGUAACUGCAGAAGCACAGCUGGAAGAUCACAAUUCUAAAACACAAAAUCAGAUACAUGUGUCCACAAGGAUCUUUUGAAGAUGAUCACCAGCUCAUCACAGAUGAUCCCAAAGCCCACCGAAGUCAGUGAGAAUCCUUCUAUUGCAUCCACGGAGAGACAUGCAAUACCCAGACCACUGGGUGUUACACUGAGGAGAUAGAGAGGAAGCUCAACCCAUCCUGAGGAAAGUCCAAGACGGGGAAAUAGGUGUCUUGGUACACCCCCUGAGUGUUACACCACCAGAUGUUUGUUUGGGCUACCCAACCAAGACAGUCCCCACAGCUCUGUAUCUUACCCUGGGGACCAGCCCCUGGCGGUCACCUUGUAAUGGCUGCCCAUGGGCUGGUCACAGACAGGACCCUGGGCUGCUCCGACUGCCCUGGCUUCUCCACUUCAGCCUCUACUCCUCCCCGAAGCAGAAGAUGCUGAAGAUUUAACUUAUCUGUCCAGGGGAUAUUCCUGGAUUGAUUUUAUGCUGGCCGCUGGUAUUGUAAAAGGGCAAGGCUGUAGUGGAGCCAAAAUCUGGUCCGUGUGUCAUCCAAUUAGUAAAGUAAACUUGGAUUUUAAAAAAAACAAAGAUGGCAAGGGGCUUGUCUUUGGCAUGCAUGUUAAAUUUGCAUUUGGCUUUUGUUAGCCCUAGGUUCUUUAUUCUCUUUGUUAUUAUUUCAGAAUGAAUCUGAUUAUUUAAGUAUUUAUUUUUAAUUCCUUGUUGACCGUAGUACCAGAGAAAAUGAAAUGUACAAGCAUUAAUUUGCCAGCUUUGCUUUUUCUACUUGUCUAAUAAAGCAACAGCCCUUUUAAAGAGGAAUUAUAUAAAGAUAUCCUGCUCUACUUCUUUUGGUAUCCAAACCAUGUACGAUUCCAAUGUAAGUUUGGGAUUAAUAAUUAUUCAUUGGCUUUGUAACAGCAGGGCAAGCAUGCUGAAUAGAGCUACAUCAACACUUACCAUUCUUUUGGAAAACGACAAAUGGAUUAAAAGUAAACUAGAAAUGAGAAGUCAUCUCAUGCAGAAAAACAGUUUCAGAAAGAUUUCCCAAACUAUUACCAGCAUCUCCUUAAAAUCAAAACUGCACAGACAGAGCAACUAUAUUUCCUAAAUUAUCUCAACUUGAUAGGCAUGCAAUAUAGACACCAGAAGUGUAUGUUAAUGCAAUGGGUAGGAAUUGUUCUGUUAUUACCUACAAGAAGUGCACUUCAACUAUGUGUUAUUAAAAGAAUUCUCAGAAAUUCCCAUUUAUGAAAAAAAAAAAAAAAAAAG